GCCUCUAUAGCUCAGCGGUAGAGCUACGGCCUUUUAAGCCGCAGGUCCUUGGUUCGAAUCCAAGUGGAGGCA
rnacentral:tRNA from 1 species